rnacentral:tRNA from 1 species
GGCCCCGUAGCUCAUCUGGAUAGAGCACGUGCCUUCUAAGCACGGGGUAGCAGGUUCGAGUCCUGCCGGGGCUACCA